UCCCUGGUGGUUCAGUGGUGAAAAUACUUCACUUCCAAUGCAGGGGACAUGGGUUCCAUCCCUGACUAGGGAA
rnacentral:tRNA from 1 species